rnacentral:rRNA from 1 species
UACGUAGGGUGCAAGCGUUGUCCGGAAUUAUUGGGCGUAAAGAGCUCGUAGGCGGUCUGUCGCGUCUGCUGUGAAAAUCCAGGGCUCAACCCUGGACCUGCAGUGGGUACGGGCAGACUAGAGUGCGGUAGGGGAGAUCGGAAUUCCUGGUGUAGCGGUGAAAUGCGCAGAUAUCAGGAGGAACACCGGUGGCGAAGGCGGAUCUGCUGGGCCGUAACUGACGCUGAGGAGCGGAAAGCAUGGGGAGCGAACAGG